rnacentral:lncRNA from 1 species
GCACGGGCUGAGGAAGAAAAUGUCACUUUUAAUCUGAUUCUGCUAAGCUUAAAAGUAUAUGAGUUCCUUUCUUGCCUAAGUAACUCCCAGUGCCAUUUUCUUCCCCACUUCACAGUCUCAAAGGGCUGAAGACAUCAGCAAUGUACAUAAUCAUGGGUGUUGGUUGCAGGAAUCAUUCUAGGUCUUCAUUGUUGAGACUUCAAUCAUCUCUACCGUGUGAAGAAAACAAAGAAAGUUCUACCUGCAGUUUAUUUUUAGCUUGACUGGAAUAUAACAGCAAAGGGAGUGGUGUAAUUUUUCUCAUUGGCAUGUUGCUGUGCAUCAUCAUCUGGCUUCAGAGCAACCUUCUCCAGUGCCAGUGUGGGAGGAGGUGGCAGAAAGAAGCUGUGCUGGAAGGUAGGAGUCAUAAGCCUGAAAAAGCCAGCACAGCUCAGCACAGCCCUCUGGAAUUUGGAUGCUCUCCCUGACUCCCCCUGUGGUCUCCUGCUGCUGCUUGCCUGGGGGCAUGGCAAGGUGUUUCAUGUUCUCCGAUGUUGGAAAGCCCCUGUGAAGACCUCGCUCUGUCCCGUCAGAGCAGAGAGAGUAACAUUGUGCGAGGGAACAUCAUCUGCAGCCAAGGUGGGAGUAAUGCACAGUGAGAUGCUGAUUUUGGACACAAACUUUUAGGAUAU